rnacentral:rRNA from 1 species
GACGAACGCUGGCGGCGUGCUUAACACAUGCAAGUCGAACGGAAAGGCCCUGCUUUUGUGGGUUGCUCGAGUGGCGAACGGGUGAGUAACACGUGAGUAACCUGCCCUUGACUUUGGGAUAACUUCAGGAAACUGGGGCUAAUACCGGAUAGGAGCUCCUGCUGCAUGGUGGGGGUUGGAAAGUUUCGGCGGUUGGGGAUGGACUCGCGGCUUAUCAGCUUGUUGGUGGGGUAGUGGCUUACCAAGGCUUUGACGGGUAGCCGGCCUGAGAGGGUGACCGGCCACAUUGGGACUGAGAGACGGACCAGACUCCUACGGGAGGCAGCAGGGGGGAAUAUUGCACAAUGGGCGGAAGCCUGAUGCAGCAACGCCGCGUGCGGGAUGACGGCCUUCGGGUUGUAAACCGCUGUCGCCUGUGACGAAGCGUGAGUGACGGUAAUGGGUAAAGAAGCACCGGCUAACUACGUG